CUCGUAGGUGGUUUGUCGCGUUGUUCGUGAAAACUCACAGCUUAACUGUGGGCGUGCGGGCGAUACGGGCAGACUAGAGUACUGCAGGGGAGGACUGGAAUUCCUGGUGUAGCGGUGGAAUGCGCAGAUAUCAGGAGGAACACCGGUGGCGAAGGCGGGUCUCUGGGCAGUAACUGACGCUGAGGCACGAAAGCGUGGGGAGCAAACA
rnacentral:rRNA from 1 species